UUUUUUGUAUUUUGAGUAUUAAUGAAUUUUGAGGAGUUAAUAUAUAUGAAAUUGGAAUAGUUUGAAUUUUAUGUAUUUGGAUGAAUGUAUUUAUGAAAUGUCGGAAUUAAAGGAAUUUGAAUAGUUUGUUAAUAUACAUAUUGGUAUAGAUAAUUUAUGAUUAAAAAGGACAAAAAGAAAAGAAAAUUUAAAUUUAUUGGAAUAAUGUAAUGAAAUGAUUUUGUUAUCAAAAAUGAGAAGAAAUAUAUGAUCAUCAUAUUAAUCAAACAUAUUUGAAGAUAGAACUGUACAAGAUUGAAGGAUCAUAUAUAUUUAUAUAUU